rnacentral:rRNA from 1 species
CCUAGGGGCGGCUGCAGUGGGGAAUAUUGGACAAUGGGCGAAAGCCUGAUCCAGCCAUGCCGCGUGUGUGAAGAAGGCCUUCGGGUUGUAAAGCACUUUCAGUGGGGAAGAAAGCCUUGGGGCUAAUACCCUCGAGGAAGGACAUCACCCACAGAAGAAGCACCGGCUAACUCCGUGCCAGCAGCCGCGGUAAUACGGAGGGUGCGAGCGUUAAUCGGAAUUACUGGGCGUAAAGCGCGCGUAGGCGGUCUGAUAAGCCGGUUGUGAAAGCCCCGGGCUCAACCUGGGAACGGCAUCCGGAACUGUCAGGCUAGAGUGCAGGAGAGGAAGGUAGAAUUCCCGGUGUAGCGGUGAAAUGCGUAGAGAUCGGGAGGAAUACCAGUGGCGAAGGCGGCCUUCUGGACUGACACUGACGCUGAGGUGCGAAAGCGUGGGUAGCAAACAGGAUUAGAUACCCCGGUAGUC